UUCAAUUUCGGGGCCAAAUAGGGACCUAAAUUCUGUCCUUCCAUCCUCCUCUGGUUCUCCCAACCUUCAACCCGUCAAACAAAAUGAGAAAAACAUUAUUAUUCAUUCCCGUUUCCCGCUACCAUCCACUCAAUAAUUCUCCUCUUCGCCUUUUUUAUUUAAACAAAUUUCUUCUCAGUUUUAGUUCCACCGCUUCCUCUGAUCAUAACCUCCAAGGUCUAGUAGACGACCCGUUCGAUAAUUCUCCUACGAAUUCUACUUCAAUUCAGGAAUUCUCCUUCUUACAUCCUAACAAUCAUACAGGUAAGUCCCCCUCAACUGACCCUUUUUUAGUUGCCCAGGCCAUUUUAACUAACCAUGACGACUUUGGUGUCAAUACCCAGAAAUUUCUUAGGCAAUUUAGACCAAAUUUGAGCCACUCCUUUGUAGUUGAUGUUUUGAAUCAUAUGAAAAACUACCCUCAUUUGGGCAUCAAAUUUUUCAUCUGGGCCGGUAGGCAAAUUGGCUAUUCUCACACUCUUCAAGUCUACAAUGCAUUAUUAGACAUUAUUGAAACUAGGAACAGUAGUGGUACUAGUACUGAUGAUAGAAUUCCACACCAUUUUUUGCUCGAAAUUAUGGACGAAGAAAGGGAAGUUCUCGGGAAGUUGCUUAACGUUUUGGUUCGCAGGUAUUGUCAAAAUGGUUUGUGGAAUGCUGCUUUGGAAGAGUUAGGCAGGCUUAAGGAUCUUGGUUAUAAGGCGUCGGGGUUAACUUAUAAUGCUUUACUUCAAGUCUUUCUCAGAGUGGAACGGUUGGACACUGCUUAUUUGGUUCACAGGGAGAUGUCGGGCUUGGGAUAUAAAAUGGACGGGUUUACUCUAGGUUUUUUUGCGCGUUCCCUUUGUAAAGCAGGCAAGUGGAGAGAUGCGUUGACGUUAAUUGAGAAAGAUGAAUAUGUGCCUGAUUCGGUGCUGUAUACCAAGAUGAUAUCUGGGUUAUGUGAAGCUUCUCUUUUCGAAGAAGCUAUGGAUUUCUUAAAUAGGAUGCGGGCAAGUUCUUGUAUUCCUAAUGUUGUGACUUAUAAGAUUUUGCUUUGUGCGUGUUUGAAUAUGGGACAGCUUGGCAGGUGUAAAAGAAUCUUAAAUAUGAUGAUUGGCGAAGGUUGUUAUCCAAGUCCUAGAAUAUUUAAUUCUCUUGUUCAUGCUUAUUGCAAAUCAGGAGAUUACUCUUAUGCUUAUAAGUUGCUUAAGAAAAUGGAAAAAUGUGGCUACAAGCCAGGUUAUGUUGUCUACAAUAUAUUGAUUGGUGGUAUUUGCGCCAAUGAGCAAUUGCCUAGCAUGAAUACCUUAGGGUUGGCUGAGAAAGCCUACGAUGAAAUGCUUGACAUGGAAGUUGUAUUGAAUAAGGUCAAUGUCUGCAAUUUCACUCGGUGUCUCUGUUGCAUUGGAAAAUUUGAGAAGGCUUAUAAUGUAAUUAAGGAAAUGAUGAGUAAGGGCUUUAUACCUGAUGCCAGCACAUAUUCUAAGGUCAUCGGUUAUCUGUGUAAUUCAUCUAAAGUAGAGAAGGCUUUUCAAUUGUACCAAGAGAUGAAAAGCAAUGGUAUCACUCCUGAUGUUUAUAUAUAUACAACAUUACUUGAUUGUUUUUGUAAAGUUGGUUUAAUAGAACAGGCUCGCAACUUGUUUAAUGAAAUGCAAAGAGAUGAUUGUGCUCCAACUGUGGUGACUUACACUGCUCUUAUACAUGCUUACCUUAAAAUUAGGAAGUUAUCCGAUGCAAAUGAAAUUUUUGAGAUGAUGCUUACUAAAGGAUGUGUGCCUAAUGUUGUCACAUAUACGGCUUUAAUUGAUGGUCAUUGUAAAGCUGGAGAGACUGAAAAAGCUUGCCAAAUUUAUGCAAGAAUGAAGAAUGAUAAAGUGGAUAUUCCGGACGUUGAUCUGUAUUUCAGGAUUGUUGAUAGCGAAUUCAAAGAACCAAAUGUUUUUACUUAUGGAGCUUUGAUAGAUGGUUUAUGUAAAGCCCACAAAGUUAAAGAGGCGCAUGACUUACUUGAAGCUAUGUCAGUGGAAGGAUGCGAGCCAAACCAGAUCAUAUACGACGCUCUCAUAGAUGGAUUCUGCAAGUUGGGCAAACUAGAUGAGGCUCAAGAGGUGUUUACCAAGAUGUUGGGCCAUGGAUAUGCUCCAAAUGUAUAUACUUACAGCUCUUUGAUUGACAAGCUGUUCAAAGAUAAAAGGCAAGAUCUUGCAAUAAAAGUGUUGUCCAAGAUGCUGGAAAACUCAUGUGCUCCCGAUGUUGUUACUUACACUGCAAUGAUAGAUGGUCUGUGUAAAGUUGCAAAGACAGAUGAAGCCCACAAACUUAUGCUUAUGAUGGAAGAAAAGGGGUGUUAUCCCAAUGUGGUGACUUAUACUGCCAUGAUUGAUGGCUUUGGCAAAGCAGGCAGAGUUGAUAGAUGCCUUGAGUUGUUCCAGCAAAUGGCUUCUAAGGCCUGUGCUCCAAAUUUUGUCACAUAUAAGGUUCUAAUAGGCCAUUGCUGUGCUGCUGGACUAUUGGAUGUGGCUCACCAAUUUCUAGAAGAGAUGAAACAAACAUAUUGGCCAAAGGACAUUGGAAUCUACAGAAAGGUCAUUGAAGGUUUCAGCUAUGAAUUUAUAGCUUCUUUUGGUCUUUUAGCUGAGAUGAGUGAGAAUAAUUCAGUGCCAAUGUUGCCUGUUUAUAAACUCUUGAUUGAUAAUUUUAUCAAGGCUGGAAGAUUGGAGAUGGCCCUAGAGCUGCAUGAAGAGCUCUCUUCAUUUCCAGCUUCCUACUCUAGCACAACUAUUUAUUUGAUUGAGAGCCUUACACUUGCAGGUAAGGUUGACAAGGCUUUUAAGUUGUAUGCGGACAUGGUUAGGAGGGAACAUGUUCCAGAACUAAGCUUAUUAGUUUGCCUUAUCAAGGGGCUUCUUGGGGUCGGUAAGUGGGAAGAAGCAUUGCAACUGUCAGACAGCAUAUGCCAAACGGGUAUUUAUUGGGUCCAAGAAGAGCAGAAAAUUGACGAAAUUUAACUUUUUGCAAAUUUAAGCUGUCUCAGUUUGGAUAAAAUAAUUAAUCGUGCAUGACCAAGUGCUUUGGUUGAGGUUGGCUUGCAUUUUUAUCCAACCAGAUGGAUCAACACGUACAUUUCAACCGCUGGAUGUAUAGGAGGCUACUCCUAAUGCUGAAUGGAAACUUGGAUACACAUUAACAUCUCAAUCAACAUGGUUAAGAUGCUAUGUAGCAGGUGGAGUGAACUAAAAGAAGAUUAAUAAUGGAGGGUGAGUUGUUGGUGGGUUUGGAGGCAUUGAAAGGAAAGAAGUAUGCUUGUUCCCCACAGCUAGAAAAGCUGAGAUGCUCCAGCGAUUUGCUCGAUGAGCAGCUAAACGCAGGCAAUGAGAUCGAAAUAAAAGAUGCUGCUCUGAUUUGAUGAAUAUCCGACAACUGCAGUCUGUACCUUAAUACAGAUUGCGCUGAAUUUGACUGCUCUUGUUAGAGCAUGUCUAAGUGCGAGUUCAGGGAAAUUAAAAUGAAGGAUAUGAUGGAUAGUAUCAUAGUAAGUUCAAGUCGGAUGUUGCAGAGUAAAGAUGCAACUACACGUCGACGCUCCUCACAAAUUUUAUCAUUUGUAUUUCGUGCUAAUUUCCUUUGUAGCCGUUGUACCUCUUAUUUUGCAUUUUAUCAUUAGUUUCCACUGCCA